GGACUUAGCCGAUUUUUCGGCUGUCUCAUUUCAUACGCGUUCGGGGACCGGUCUCUCCCACCAGGGACCGGUCCCCGAGAGCUGAAAACCUGCAGAAUGCAGAUUUCACAACUUUUAGCUCUCGAAAACCUCCCGUAACUCACUUUUAAUCAUUUUAACACCUUCGGACUCUCCGAAGUGUUCCAUUCUCGCACUUUGGUCAAUUUGACUAAAGUUCGACAUUUAUUUUUCGAAUUUUCGGUAUAUUACAGGCCCCGUCGCGUGCCAACCUCCGGAGUGCACUACCUAUGAGGACUACCUCCACAGGUGCAGACAGGCUAUGUGAGCUCGAUCCAAUCCUCAUAACUGGGAACAUCCUAUCAACUAAGGAUAAUGUCAUCAACUGGGAACACCCUAUCAUCUAGGGUUAACAACAUGACACUUUAGGUUCU
rnacentral:lncRNA from 1 species